GCCAGUGUGGUGUAGUGGUUUGAGUGUUGGACUAUAACUAUGGAGACCAGGGUUCAAUUCUCAGCUCAGACG